GUAGGUGAACCUGCGGAAGGAUCAUUAUUGAAACUUGAAUCGUAGCAUUGAGAACUGUUGCUGACCUGUUAAAGGGUAUGUGCACGUUCGACGUGUUGCGUUCUAUUCAUCCACCUGUGCACCUUUGUAGACUUGAUUAACUUUCGCUCUCGAGCGGUUAGAAGGGUUGCUUUCGAGCUCCCUUUGUCUGUCAAGUCUAUGUCUAUAUAAUCUCUUGUAUGUCUAGAAUGUCUUGUUUAUGGGACGCAAGUCCUUUAAAUCUUAUACAACUUUCAACAACGGAUCUCUUGGCUCUC
rnacentral:misc_RNA from 1 species